GUGGGGGAGAGCUGGGAUCGUGUGUGGGCACAGAGCCCAGACAGGCGCGGUGGGGGCAGGGGUGACCAGGGCAGGCUUCCUGGAGGAGGGGAGCGUAGACAUGCGCUGGACAGAGGGGAGGCGCAAGGAUCAGAAUUGCUGCGGGCUAAGGGGAGAAAAACGUGGGUCUCUGGAGACCAGGGGGUUGUUCCUAGACUGGUUCCCUGCGGGCACAGCAGCAUCUCUCCCAUCAGAUCUGGAUUUGGUUCUUCCUCUAGCUGAACUCCCAGCCAUCCACUUGAUAUUUACCCACAAGGCACCUGAGUGUUGACACAGAAGACAGCCUAUCUGCCAGAUUCAUGAACAACCUGACCCAAUGCAGGCAAAUGCAGAGGAUGUCCCAUAACUGUCCCACUUCCUAGGAACCCUUCUUUGUGGCCAGCCAGGGCUCAGUGCAGAGAGACAGAGAAGACCCAGGUGUCCCCUGGCCCAAUGCUUCCGGGAGGCAUCUCGGCCUUCCCACCUCUGAGAACAUUCAGGCCUUUGAGAUGUGGCCCCUGCCUGCCCCAGUCCCCCCGGCCCGACAAUGGGGGCUUCAGAGGAGACUGGAUGGCAGGACACAGCCACUUCUGUGAAGCAGAGUCGACCGCCAAGCUGGAGGUCUUCGUGGAUUUAUCAGGGAGAAGCAUGGCUGAGUAAAGGAAUUCUGGCACCAUGUGACAACCAUCUUCCUCAUCAAGAUUGGUGUCCUGGGAUGUGGCUAUCCCUGACCUUCCAGCAGAAUGAAGAGAAAAGGCUGAACCAGGCAGUUCAGCUUCCCCCAGUAGCACUCCUCUCAGGCCAUGGAGAAUAAUAAUAGCUAACAUUAACUGAGCUUUUGCUAGGGGCCAGACCUUUAUGUGCAUUAUCUCAUUUAAUCCUUGUGCUAAGAGGUAAGUACCAUUACUAUUGCCAAUACAGGAAACAGAAGCUUAGUGUGGUUAAGUGACUUGCUCAAUGGCUGGAAGAGGUGAAGUAACCCACCUCAAGGUUGUUCAGGUAGUUAGCAGUACAGCCAGGAUUUGAACCCAAGCAGUCUAAACCCCGAGAUUCAUUUCAUCAAAAACAGCAACCAGAGAAUAGAAUCCUGAUCCCUGCAACAGGUCAGCUGAGCCAGGACCAAUUCAUUGCUUGAUUCCUACAAAGGAUUCUUGCUGAUGAAGGUAACAAGGAAGAUAGAAACAGGAGAUUGGUAACAGUGAAGAAGAACGUGUUGAUGAAUAGGUGACUAGGAAAUUCCCACCUAGGAGUCAUUGAGUUGUUCAUUCAUUAAUCCAUCAUCCAUCUCAGGAGCUCUGCUGAGUUGCCACAGAGUGUAAAGAACAUGAGCUCUGGAGCCUGCCAGACUGAAUUCAAAUCCCAGUUCUGCCAUGAUUUCCUGUGUGACCUUGGGCACGUUGCUUCACUUCUCUGAGCCUCAGACUUCUCAUCAAUAAAAUGAAGAUAACAAAUUAUCUAUCUUGU
rnacentral:lncRNA from 1 species